rnacentral:lncRNA from 1 species
UGGCAGCGGCUGUGUAGUUGGGGGUGGCGACAUGAGCCAUGCGAGCUAGCCUCCCAGCUGGUCCCCGGGAUCUCAGGUUACGUCGCACCCCCCGCAGUGCCGCCGGUCUGUGGGUGUCCAGAUCGACCAGCAGAGACAGAUCCUGGACUUGGACCUGGGCCUGCAGUUCCUACAGCAGCAGUACUUGGAGUUGCUGGCCAAGCUCCACUAGAAGAUCGAGCACCUGAAGUGGGAGAACAAGGCCAACUCUCAAGGAAAGGACAGGCCCCAGCCGGUUCCUUCAAGAAACAAGACUCUAAAGCUGACGUACCCCAGAAGGCAGACCUUGAAGAGGAGCCACUGCUUCACAACAGCAAGCUGGACAAAGUUCCUGGGGUGCAAGGGCAGUCCAACCAGCACAGGGACAGGCAGAUGAUGGCACACUCCCCGAUGAUCCUGUCCCCACACCUGCGAAAGCCCACCACACUUCAGCAGUGUGAGUGGUCAUCCACCAGCUGUGGAAUACCAACCUUCUGCAGGCCCAAGAGCUGCAGCACCUCAAGUCCCUCCUGGAAGGGAGGCAGAGGCCCCAGGCAGCCCCAAGGCCGACAGCAUCCUGACAGGACAGCCAGCCCAGAUUCAUGGAGAAGGGGACACAGUGAUGAACAACUGACAAACACAGGAAUAAUAAAUUUAUUAUAAUCACAGAUGGUGGGGUAGUGCACAUAAAAAGGGGGGACCUCUUCUCACCAGAGGGUGCUGGCCGGUGCCCAGAGUGGCAGGCAACAUAGGGAGGCGCUCCCUGCAUGGCCCGGCCCGCUGCCAGGCCCGCUGUCUCUGGGUGGCUCAGUGUGUGGUGCUCUGAGGACACGGGUCCUGAGGGCCUUGCUCUUCAUCCUUCACAGUGGGGACACGGCCCUCAUGCCAGCGGCACAGGGGUGCCGGCAGCAGGAUCCCCGACGCCCCUGCUCCCUGGGUGCCCCACGGUGCUCAGCAGGAAUGCCGUGAGGGCUGAGGCCCAGCUGGUGGCGGGGAGUCAGCAGCACCUAUGGGCCAGCCCUCCCUCCAAAAGGCAGCCUGUGCCCUGGACUUGCGGGCUUCCUCGGGGGGUGCUCCACCUACCCAAAGCAGCGUAGCCUGAACCCAAAACUGUGACCAGAGAAUCCCAUGUGUGUUUUAAGGGUUUCCUAUGUCCUCUGUGUUCUCCUAUAGGAACGAGUAGGGGUGUGUCUAGCACACACGAGACGCUCUAACAACACCCUGAGUGCACCCUCACGCUGCUGAGAUGGACCUGGACUGUGGACAGGCCACGGUGAGAGCAGCCCGAGGAUGGCAUCUGGCUCCUGGGAGGAAGUCACAUGGAGGGCCUUCUCUAAGAAGUCGGCCAAUGGCCCCCAACAACCCGCUCCACUGCGCCUAUCCCAGUUCUGUACAGCUGUGGGAUUUCGUUUGGCAGGUCCCCAAGGCAGAAGAUAAAAGCAGGAAAGCUAACCUAACCCCAGGCUCUCUAAGGAAGCCAACACCUAGAAGUGUCUGACAGGAGGCGUGUGUCCUUGGCCCCGAUGAGGCUGCGGGCCAUCCCUGCAGUCUUGGCUAGGCGGCUGAGAGGCAGGCCUGGUGGACGCUCUGGGCCCAGGUGUUGAGCAAGGCGGUGACCGAGUGCUUGUCCGGGAGCUGCAGCAGCC